GAUGAACGCUAGCGGCAGGCUUAACACAUGCAAGUCGAGGGGCAGCAUAUUCGGUAGUAAUACUGAGUGAUGGCGACCGGCGCACGGGUGCGUAACGCGUAUGCAACCUACCAUAUACAGGGGGAUAAUCAGUCGAAAGUCUGUCUAAUACCCCAUAGUAUUAUUUUACGGCAUCGUAUAAUAAUUAAAGAUUUAUUGGUAUAUGAUGGGCAUGCGUAUCAUUAGUUUGUUGGUGGGGUAACGGCUCACCAAGACUACGAUGAUUAGGGGUUCUGAGAGGAUGAUCCCCCACACUGGUACUGAGACACGGACCAGACUCCUACGGGAGGCAGCAGUGAGGAAUAUUGGUCAAUGGUGGCAACACUGAACCAGCCAUGCCGCGUGAAGGAUGACUGUCUUAUGGAUUGUAAACUUCUUUUAUGUGAGGAUAACCCUGCGUUUGCGACCGCAGCUGAAGGUAUCACAUGAAUAAGCAUCGGCUAACUCCGUGCCAGCAGCCGCGGUAAAAC
rnacentral:rRNA from 1 species